rnacentral:rRNA from 1 species
UACGUAGGUGGCAAGCGUUGUCCGGAUUUACUGGGCGUAAAGAGCGCGCAGGCGGUCGUUCAAGUCGGAUGUGAAAGCCCCCGGCUCAACUGGGGAGGGUCAUUCGAUACUGAUCGACUCGAAGGCAGGAGAGGGAAGCGGAAUUCCCGGUGUAGUGGUGAAAUGCGUAGAUAUCGGGAGGAACACCAGUGGCGAAGGCGACUUCCUGGCCUGUUCUUGACGCUGAGGCGCGAAAGCUAGGGGAGCAAACGGG